rnacentral:snoRNA from 1 species
GUUGAGGUCUAUCCCAGUGGGGCUUUCCUGCAGCCUGCCCAUUGCUAGAAACGCCUUAUACAGUAACUGUGGGUUUGCUUUACUCCCAGGACUAUUUGUAGACCUGUGAGAAGGAACUACAAGACAGAG